rnacentral:misc_RNA from 1 species
AACGCACCUUGCGCCCUUUGGCUAUUCCGAAGGGCAUGCCUGUUUGAGUAUCAUGAACACCUCAACUCCUCAUGGCUUGCUGUGAUGAGCUUGGACUUUGGGGGUCUUGUUGGCCUGUGAGCCAGCUCCUCUUAAAGGAAUUAGCUUGCCAGUGUUUGGUGGCAUCCCAGGUGUGAUAACUAUCUACGCUUGUGGUUUCCCACCAGGUAACCUUCAGCAAUGGAGGUUCACUGGAGCUUAUAAAUGUCUUUCCUUUGUGAGGACACAUUUUGACCAUUUGAUCUCAAAUCAGGUAGGACUACCCGCUGAACUUAA